UGUUCCUUCGUUUAGUCCUGUAUAAAGUUUCAGAAAGUUGCAUAGCUAUAAAGGCUUUUCACAUCUUAUCCAUUGAGCAUGUUUGCAUUAGGCAAAAUGGACUGUUAGAUCAUGAAGUUGGACUUAAAGAUCCACAAAUAAUCUCCUAUCUUGUGUGUGAAAGGUAAAGCAUAUCUCCUUAGAGAGUAUACCCAAUUUUCCUAUGUCGGCACAGCAGGUUUAAUUUUUCUCCUCAUUUAUUUCAGAAUCUGAAAGUGCUUUUAAAAGCUAGAACAGACCUUUGAAUUAUGUAAAGAAGAAAUGUGGAAGAACUUGAUGUGCCUUGGAACUGUAGCUGCUGGUUGGGGUGGCACCAGGCUUGAUCGGUGCAGGCUAGGACAAAGUGUUCAACAGAAACAUCAAGGCCUGAAAUUUCUCUAGGACAAAAGCUUUUACAUAAAUUUAGUCACACCAAAAGUGAGAAUUGUGCCUCUCUAGAUGUCUCUCAGCUCUUUCCUUCUGCAUCAAAGCUUUCUCUCUGGUUUUAGCUGAAGCACAUACAUGAUGAGUGUUGUGGUCAACAGAGCAACAAAACUUGCUGUUAAUAAUGUAUAUACUUGAAGUGCUGUGAAGAUUUCUGUGUUAAUGUUUCCUCCCAGAUAAAAACUUUACUGAAUUAGAGCUUAAAUCAAAGGUAGUGCAAAUACAAACCAUAUGGCAUAUGCAGUGGGAAGUGGAAUGGGUUGUUGUGGUUACUUGGUUUCACUCAAAGUUGGUAGUGGUGGUGUGUUUAAAUUAGGGAGCACAGCAAAGGAAUAAUGCAAUAUUAAAUCUUGUGGACUAGCAAGUUUGCUUUUUUAUACUGUUUUAUUACUGCUAAUAAUUUGCUCACUUCAUAGAUGGAAAUCUAUGUUCAGGAAUUUAAAGAUCUUAUACAUAAUUUCAUGAGAAACCAAGCUGAUAUUUGAAGCUCAGGGAUGGAGGCUUUUUUCUUUAUGCACGACACUUAGUACCUGUCCAGCUGAGAGUUGUGUGUCCGUGGAAAUGCUGGAUACUGACGUGCAGAUCCAACUCAACCAGAUACAAAGAGAGGAGAGGCCCUGAGAGGAAAGAUAACAGUCCGCAAAAACAGAAAGGAUCCACGGUCCCUCUUCAUAACCCUUUCAGUGAAGGACACGCAGCAGACCUACAGCCUCCAGUGAAAACUCUGCGCGUAGAACUUUGGGAAAUGUCAAAUUUAAAUACCAGAUUUAACUGUUGAUAACUGUUUCUAAAUAUCUGAAAAAGGUAAACUCUUGGAUUUGUGUAUGUAUACACACACACAAGAACAUGAAAAGUUUACCUAGAAUUGGGAGAGUACUGUUUGGAUGCUUCUGCGCUGGGAUGUGGAGACUGAUGACAAAAUCAGAUUCUGCUGUGUUUCGUGUGACGUGGGGAAGGGAAGAAAGAUGGUUUGGGGUUAUGUGAGACUGCUGUGUGAGAAAAAUCAGAUUGAAGUCUUGCUGUAAGGAAUAAUAAAUACAAUCUGUCAAUACUGUUUUAUUCUCCAACUGGCAAAAUAGUUUUGCAACUUUUUUUUUUUUUUUUACGAAAGAAGAAGAUAAAUCAUGUGCCAGUGCUCCUCAACAAUAGCUGGAAAAUCCCAGAGGAAAUGAGUUUGGAAUUGCAACUGCAGGAUGGCAGCAACAAAGACUUUAUUUUUAUUACAGUUCUGUAAUUAAAAAGUUGUAUCACAUUUCAGUUACGUUUAUCUAAGUAAAUGAACUGAGUAUGUUAUAUAA